GUGAACGCUGGCGGUAGGCCUAACACAUGCAAGUCGCACGGCAGCACAGUAAGAGCUUGCUCUUACGGGUGGCGAGUGGCGGACGGGUGAGGAAUACAUCGGAAUCUACUUUUUCGUGGGGGAUAACGUAGGGAAACUUACGCUAAUACCGCAUACGACCUACGGGUGAAAGCAGGGGAUCUUCGGACCUUGCGCGAUUGAAUGAGCCGAUGUCGGAUUAGCUAGUUGGCGGGGUAAAGGCCCACCAAGGCGACGAUCCGUAGCUGGUCUGAGAGGAUGAUCAGCCACACUGGAACUGAGACACGGUCCAGACUCCUACGGGGGGCAGCAGUGGGGAAUAUUGGACAAUGGGCGCAAGCCUGAUCCAGCCAUACCGCGUGGGUGAAGAAGGCCUUCGGGUUGUAAAGCCCUUUUGUUGGGAAAGAAAAGCAGCAGGUUAAUACCCCGCUGUUCUGACGGUACCCAAAGAAUAAGCACCGGCUAACUUCGUG
rnacentral:rRNA from 1 species